rnacentral:lncRNA from 1 species
GAACCCUAAUCCCCAUUUGCCCCUCUCCCUUUCGCACGAGCCGCCGCCCGUGCGUUGCCGUCAUCGCGUCUUCGUCAUCACCACGGUCUCCGACUGCCCCGCGCUGCACCACCACCUGCAGGAGCUCCGUCAUGUUCGUCUACGUCAUCUACGGCCAUCCGUUCAAGCUGGGCACCUCUACAUCACCGGGAUCGACUGCUUCGUCCCCGCGGCCGUCCGCGCCUCUCCGGCGAAUUUCGGCGCUCUCUGCUGCUCCCGGCAACCAACGAGCCUCCGUGAGCUCCCUUGGUGAGCUUCCCCUCUGUUCCCGCCUUGCAUCGACCUCAAACCGUGCCGAAUACUACUGCCCCACCGCCAUGCCCGCGUGCUGCACAGCCCGCGCGCUGCUGGCGUCUGCUGCCGCAAGGCCGCGAGCGCCGCACCGCAGACGCCCGUCGCUCCCUGGCCUCGCCAAGGCGCGGCCUUAACUGCUUCUCUUGCUGCACUGUCUUCUGCUACUACUUGCCGCUGCUGCUGCUCCUCUUAGCCGCUGCUUUGCUCUGCUGCUGGCAGCCGCACUACUCUGCGUACUACUGCUACUCAAGCCGUUGCCUGCUAGUGUCGCUACUUACUACAGCUGCUGUUUACGACUUGCUGCGUAGCCGACCGCCGCUGCUCUAGCUGCUCCUGGAUGCUAGUUUUUGCUACUCCUAGAUGUUGUGGUAAUGGCCAUGGCCAAGCAUGAGUGAUGUGCGUGUACGUGUACAGCCAAGCCACCAGUGGCCGGCCCGUCCAAAUUAGCUAGGGGAUAAGUUCCAAAUAGUUUAAUUGCUAGCCAAUGACAGGUAGACCCCACCUCCAAUUAUCUCUUUAAAAGGAAAAUAAUAAAUCUGUGAGAAUGACACUGGGCCCCACCACCCAGGUUUGACCAGUCAAUAGUUGACUAGUCAACUACGGACUGGACUAAUUGACUUUGUCAACCCAGCCCCCUGGCCCCACAUGUCAUUGACUGUGGCUAGCCCCUGCUGAGUAUAAAAUGUAUAUUCUGAUCUAAUUUGAUUUUAAGAAUAAAUCCUGGAAUUUUUAGAAAAAAUUUAAAAAAUUAAUAUAAAAUAAAACAUAACUCGGAUGGAAAAACAUUGUACAUGAAAGUUGCUCAGAACAACGAGACGAAUCUGAAUACGCAACCCGUUCGUCAGCCACACGUCCCUAGCAUAGCGAACCUGCAAUAUUUCACCUCCGGUUCAUCUGUCCGAAACGCGAAACACCGGGCAUACUUUCCCGGAUGUUUCCCCCCUUCGCCAGUGUCACCUAUCCCUGCGUUAGAUCACCCCUGGCAUCGCGUAUUGCCUUGUUAUAUUUUGUGAUGCUUUGUUUGCUCUGUAUUCAUUGUUUCUUCCCCCUCUUCUCUCCGGUAGACUACGAGACGGACGUCGCUGCUGCCUCGAUCGACUACGGUGUUGACGACCCCUCCUUCUUGCGAGAGCAACCAGGCAAGCCCCCCCUUUGAUCACCAGAUAUCGCCUAUUCUACCCUCUACUGCUUGCAUUAGAGUAGUGUAGCAUGUUACUGUUUCGAUUAAUCCUAUUCUGUUGAAUGGCCUGUCAUUGUUGCUACAAUUGUUGAUACCUUACCCGUAAUCCUAAAUGCUUAGUAUAGGAUGCUAGUUUAUCAUCAUUGGCCCUACAUUCUUGUCAGUCUGCCUUGCUAUACUAUCGGUCCGUGAUCACUCGGGAGGUGAUCACAGGUAUAUACUAUACAUAUAUACAUACUGUACCGAUGGUGACUAAAGUCGGGUCAGCACAUUGAGUACCCGCAAGUGAUUGCGAUGUGGGGGCUGGAAGGACAGGUGGCUCCAUCCCGGUAGAGGUGGGCCUAGGUUCCUGACGGCCCCCGACUGUUACUUUGUUGCGGAGCAACAGGGCAGGUUGAGACCACCUAGGCGAGAGGUGGGCCUGGCCCUGGUCGGCGUUCGCGGUUGCUUCAUAAUAGCACGCUUAACGAGAUCUUGGUAUUUGAUCUGAGUCUGGCCACUGGCCUAUACGCACUAACCAACUACACGGGAAAGAUAUGGGCACUCGACAUCGUGGUAUCAGCCGAAGCCUUCCUGACGUCAGCGACUGAGUGGCGCGCGCCGGAUUGGAACGUAAGCCUGCUCUUGUAUUAAGGGGGCUAGUUCUGCUUCCGGUCGCGUACGCAACGUGCAGGUGUGCAACGGGCGAUGGGCCCAGACCCCUGCGCGCAUAGGAUUUAGACCGGCAUGCUGACCUCUCUGUUGUGCCUAGGUGGGGCUGUGACGUGUUGAUCUUCCGAGGCAGGGCAAGACCCAGGAAAGUGUGUUCGGCCAAAUGGGAUCGAGCGUGUUGGGUUAUGUGGUGCACCCCUACAGGGAAGUUUAUCUAUUCGAAUAGCCGUGUCCCUCGGUAAAAGGAUGACCCGGAGUUGUACCUUGACCUUAUGACAACUAGAAUCGGAUACUUAAUAAAACACACCCAGACAAGUUCCACAGACAACCCGGUGAUCGCUUUUCCACAGGGCGACGAGGGGAGGAUCGCCGGGUAGGAUUAUGCUAUGUGAUGCUACUUGGAGGACUUCAAUCUACUCUCUUCUACAUGCUGCAAGAUGGAGGCUGCCAGAAGCGUAGUCUUCGAUAGGACUAGCUACCCCCCUCUUAUUCUAGCAUUCUGCAGGUCAGUCCACCGACAUUGCCUUUUUACACAUAUACCCAUGCAUAUGUAGUGUAGCUCCUUGCUUGCGAGUACUUUGGAUGAGUACUCACGGUUGCUUUUCUCUCCCUUUUCCCCCCUUUCCUUUCAACCUGGUUGACGCAACCAGAUGUUGGAGCCCAGGAACCAGACGCCACCGCCACCGACGACCCGUACUACAUCGAGGGUGCCUACUACUACGUGCAGGCCACUGAUGAUGACCAGGAGUAGUUUAGGAGGAUCCCAGGCAGGAGGCCUGCGCCUCUUUCAAUCUGUAUCCCAGUUUGUGCUAGCCAUCUUAUGGCAACUUGUUUAACUUAUGUCUGUAGUCAGAUAUUGUUUCUUCCGCUGACUUGUUUAUGUCGAGCACUUGUAAUCGAGCCCUCGAGGCCCCUGGCUUGUAAUAUGAUUCUUAUAUGACUUAUUUUACUUUUAGAGUUGUGUUGUGAUAUCUUCCCGUGAGUCUCUGAUCUUGAUCGUACAUGUUUGCGUGCAUGAUUAGUGUACGAUUGAAUCGGGGGCGUUACAAGUUAGUAUCAGAGCCGACUGCCUGUAGGAACCCCCCUUCCAAACUCCUUGGCCGAAGUCGAGUCUAGACAAUGCAAAACUUUUUACUAACAUGGUUGUGUGUCUUACGAGCCCACGUCGCCAUUGGGUGUACUAGGAUCUUUUACUCCUCGGCCCUUACUCCGGGACUCUGACCUCUCUUCUAUUCGGGUUAUAUGAUUAUGCAAAAAACAACUAACUAACUUUAGGUUCUCGAAAAUAGUUUCUCACGGAGAGCCCCUCACUCCAGAUGAUCGCCUGCUGCACGAGAAGAUUCCGAAGAUACUCUCUGAUGUUCUUUCGAGAACUUAUGCUCAUCAGGUUUGCAACCCUACCACCAAGACAUCCCUAUGGAUAGCUACUUAUACUUGCCACCCUUACCUUCAUUCUCGAUUACUCUUGAUACUACAAGAUACCCUGAACUACUUCCCGCCAUUCCGAGAAUCCUGCGUGCUUACUGCCUUGCAGCUCCUUUCUGCACGAUUACACUGACGCAUAAAUUCUCACACUUAUCGAGGAUUUCUUCAUUGCUAGUUGUUUUUGUGUUUCACAAAAAUUCUUCAGGAUACUAUUCGGUUUUCUGAAAAUUCCUUAGGAGCCUAUUGCUCCUGAAUUCCUGGUCUUCCGGUACUAUGGUUAAUUCCAUAUUUCUACCAAUCUCCAUUGACAUCCUUUGUCACUAUCAUUUCGUUCCCCUUGCUUCCUUAUUUUGUGAAUGAUCGCAAUCUUCAAUCAGAUCAUAGAAUUCAUCCUUCCGGCUCAGAUGUCAUUUUAAGCAUGAGCUGGUUCUUGACCAAUCAAAUUGCCGUCGAUUGUACCCCUAAGUCUGUUCAACUUAUCCAGUCUUAAUCAGAGCGUCUGCUUCUGAUCCUUCAUUUUGGAAAUCAUAAUUCCUUUGUUAUCUAAGCAUCGAAUUAUUUAGAUGUUCUAUAAUCAGAUGCCUUUGCAUUUUUUCUUUAUCUGAUUGUGUGCCGAUGCUCACAUUAGCUCUGCUAUGGACCGUCAAAUCCUUUGUUGGAUUAUUAUUCGAUAGUGUCCUUCAUAUUUUACCGCCUUAUGAAUCCUCCCUGAUGCAUAAUGCCUUUGGUAAUUUGUAUCCUCUCCUUUAGUCAAACAUGCUCUGCUUCUGAGCUUGAGUUAUUUACCCCUAAAGUUUGUGGUAUAUGUUUCUAAGAAGCCCCGAUGGGUUGAGCCUAUGCCUUCCUUAAUUGUGUGAACCUGAGAGUUUUCACGAGUCAUACUCUUCUGGUAUUUUGCCAGAUAAACUUUCAACACUACAACUUCAUCGAACGCGAGAAUGAAUGAAAGAUUAUGCAUUGAAGAAGUGGGAGUUGACCUUGAACUUUGUGUUCAUGCCCAUGGACACGAUGUAUAUCUUAUCAUGGAAGCUUCUUAUAAUAAUAACUAUUUCGUUGAUAAAUAUCAUCUGGUAUUUGUAAAUUGAUCCUUUGCAAUCGUGGUUCCGGCCAUGAUUGUUCUUCUUUGAUCCCAUUUCUCGGACAAGUUAAAGCACUUGUCUCCUACAGAUCAAUACGCCUGCCCAACCUCUAUUAUGAUCUACCUUCGAGUAUUACCCCUGGUAUCUCGAUGAUAUCAUACCAUUGCACUACAUCUUAUGAAUUUGUGAUGAAGUAGUACUUUCCCCAUCAUAGUAACUCCACGGGUUCUGGGUUGUCGUCAACCGAGAACACCGAUUUGUGAGUCAAUUCAACACUGUGAUACAGUACUCCCAGUACCUUGUUGAGAAGUUUAAUACUCUAUCAUGUCAUUCCUAGCCUGAUCGGCUACUUCAUUAUUUUGCUAAAUUUAACUGUGCUACCUGAUCCUUCUUCCCGGAGCACAAAUUUUGACGGUGAUCUAGUCUUACAUCGAUCUUCCUCGUCAUAUCAUUUCUCCUUGAACAGCAAACUUGAUUUCGAGUUUGUGUCGUACCCUUGGUUCCAAUAACCUUUUGCUUCAUCAUUCCUUUGACUUGAUGUCAUCGUCGGUCGAUUACAUCUUCAUGAAAUCUCUCGACAAAUGUGUCGUGAUCAUCAUCAUCAUUUUGAGCUCUUCCAGGAUAUCAACUGAAUUCAUGAUGAGAAAGACCAUCCUUGCCCUUGAUGAUUAGUGUUAUCAUCGACCACUCUACUGCCUUCCCUCCAACACAAACUUGUUCGUGUUUUGUGUUAUACCUUGAGUUCCUUGCUACCCAGCAUUUGUUCUUCUUUACCUUGGACUAUUACUAUCUUUUAUGUCAAGGAUGUUGUGAGGACUGCUCCACCUCUUAAGGAAUUCUUGGUAUUGUGAUACUUCUCACCCUCACCAUUCUUUCUUGGUCCCCGUGUUGAUUCUAACUGGGAUACCAACACGUGAACCAUGCUGAUUGGAUUCUGUACUUCUAGCAACCCUAUUGCUUUGAAGUUAAUGGUCGACAUUUCAUUCUUAGACCAUUGGUUAUCGAAUCACCAUUCUAACAUUGAUCCUGCUACCUAAGCCCAUAUUUCGGGUGCACCUUUCAACCAGUGAUUAAUUGUGUAUGUCUCCCUCGAGCAUACAUCAUUAUAUCAUUUGAUCUGUUAAAUGUUAUCUCCUUGUUCACGUAAUUGUGGAGAUCCAUCUUUUGGAAAUCUCGAUGAAUUGUCGCUGAGACCAUUAGCCACCUCCUCAUCCUCUCUUUGAUUUAAUGAUGAACUCUUGUUUCGGAACUCGCUUCCAUAGUUCAAUUAUCGAGAAUCUUACAAUGUCAUCUCGACAAUUUGUGUUGCACCUUUCUUCUCACGCAACCUGAGUCUGAGUUAUCCUAACACCAAUCAGAUCUGAAUCUCGGUCGGAUAUGAUGGUUGGAACAUAUUUCCAAGAGUUAUAACAUUGGUCUUUAUAUAUGACCCGACAAGAUGAUGUCAUAUCUAGCACACCUGGCCGGAGGCCCUAUUGUUAUAGUUCCCUUUUUAGCAAGGUUAGCGAUUCUUCCAUGAGGAUAUCGUAAGACUUAUUCUAUAAUUUGUUCCUGAUGGAUCCUUUGCGUAUCCAAAGUCUGAUCUUUGCUUAAAGACCAUUCCAAUGCUAUCUUGAAGCAUGUCAUGUGGUACUCCGAUUUUCAAUAAGAAUAUUUGAAGCACAACGCUAAAUUUUCUCUAUCAAUUAUCCAAACAUCACUGUAUGGGUAAUGUCAUGAAAUUUCUCUCCCCUUUCCAAAAAGGUUUUCAACAAUUAUAUCCUGUCAUGGAUAACAUGCUCUGCUUAUCCUUGGGAAGGAUAUACCCUGAAUUAUGUGUUUAAACACAUUUUCCCCUUCCAUUGUUCUGAUUAAACAUGAUAAUCACUUUUUCUUUCCAUUGGUUUGUUUAACCCUUCUUGUGAUCUAUAUUAUAUAAGCAGUAAUAUUCUUCUGCUUAUGCAAAACACCUCGGUGUACAACCGUGUCGGCAAGACCUCGUUACUAUUGUUGAUGACAUUUCGGUAGCCACCGAUGGGUGAUAACUUUGCCAAUUGGUUCGCCUUGUUCAACAAGCAGGAAAAUUGCUCUCUUCAUUCCUCGUCCUUGGUACCGACAUUGUUGCCGAUAUACCUGACAAGCUAUUCACUAACAUGACUCCCUGUCGCGGUAUUGCAAGAUGUCACCACCCUUCCUACUUUCAACCCACAUGGUGGGCCCAUAACCCACAGGUCCACUGGAUCGAAACCUGACUCUCCUUUACAACCCGGAUUCUAAUGUAUCAUUUGCACCUGGCUUCGUAUGUGAUUCACGAGCUAAAUGCUAUACCAUUAUUCAUCCAGGAAUCAAACACCAUGUUAUUCUCGUUGUUCAAACCCCCAUUCCAGCUUAGGUCUAGUCAUCGAAUGAUUGCCUACCCGUUGAAAGUUUGGUGCAAUCGUAUAUUGCACUCAACGAAUUCACUGAAAUACAACUCGUGGGGUACCUUGUGUAUUUCCCAUUGAGUUCACGUCAGAUGCCCAGCAUUGUCGAGAUGCAUUCUUCCGGAGUUUUCCCCCUUGGUCGCGUUCGUAGGACGAUGGAGAUCCCAAAGAAAGAAUGACGACUUCAUCAAGAUGCCCCGAUGCAGUGAAUUGAAAACUUCAACGUAGUGGAUUGACCUCUUCGAGAAAAGCAACCAAGACUGAGAAGAUUGGUUAGAAUUUCGUAACCAGAUAACCUUUCCCCCUUAGUCCCCCUCUUAAAUCUCGGGACGAGAUUUCUUGUAGUGGAGGAGAAUUGUGACGCCCGGAUACUUAAGCUACAGUGAACCUCUGAUAAUGAUGCCACGUCACCUCGCUUACUGUUGUUAACCUCACGUUAGUUGAAAACCGGUUCGGACUUAAACUUCAAAAUAAAGUCGAUCGAUGAAAGUGUUGAAACAUUAAAACUAAAAUGUUAGAUUUGUGUCAAUUAAUCCGUACUAAAUUUUGGUGAAGAAACCACACUUUUAUAAAAAUUUUAAAUACUCUAAAAUGAUUAAAACAGUAGCAACAACAAUUAGUUAAACACCUUUAUAAUGAAUGAAAUGUCAAACUAAGUUAUUUGGGAACUAGACUUUUUGUGACUGUGGACCAGGUUGAAAUACUAAUUUAGAUGCUAAGUUUAUAUUUUACUAGAACUAAAAUAAAUGGCAACUAAAAAAAACAAGAACAAAAGUAAAGACAGAAAAACAAAAAGACCUUCUCCUCCCCUGGGCCUUGGCCCACUAGGCCAGCCCAACUCGCCCCUGCUUCCCCGCUCCCCUGUUCACGGGAGGGCGUGGCCGCGCCGAUGCCUGCCACGGCACCGGCCAUCGCCGUGGCGGCCAUCCGGCGGCCCUCCCCGGUGACCACCUCGCCUAUAAGACCGGCACCCUCUUCCCACGGCGCCUGGAACCCUAAUCCCAUUUGCCCCUCUCCCUUUCGCACGAGCCGCCGCCCGUGCGUUGCCGUCGUCGCGUCUUCGUCGUCACCACGGUCUCCGACUGCCCCGCGCUGCACCACCACCUGCAGGAGCUCCGUCAUGUUCGUCUACGUCAUCUACGGCCAUCCGUUCAAGCUGGGCACCUCUACAUCACCGGGAUCGACUGCUUCGUCCCCGCGGCCGUCGGUGCCUCUCCGGCGAAUUUCGGCGCUCUCUGCUGCUCCCGGCAACCAACGAGCCUCCGUGAGCUCCCUUG